GUUAUUUUGGCAGAUUAGUGCGAUGGAUUUAGAAUCUUUAUAUGUAAUAUAUACAAAUAACA
rnacentral:tRNA from 1 species